AUUUAUAUAGUUUAAAUUUAAAACAUUAUAUUUUCAUUAUAAAAUUAAUAUAUUUAUUUAUAAAUU
rnacentral:tRNA from 1 species